rnacentral:misc_RNA from 1 species
AGGGGGGGAACUGGCCUCCCCAGGCGGGAUGGCACAGGUUUACCAGCCUGAACGUAGCGUUUGCCUCAGUUUUUUGAUGUUUUCUCGGCGCCGUAUCACAUACAACUCCGGUUAACGUGAGCCGCAUCGGGGAAAUGGACGAAAUGAGCAAUGCUACACAAAUCUCGUUUACCCGGUGUCUUUCGAGAUAUCGUGGACCAGUGGUUGCCUCAGUCGGAUGAUGUUUGUAAGAUGUUGUGUCAUCCGAGAUAUCGGGGAGACGUUGUCAUGGUCACGUGUAUGUUCCUAGUAGGCAUGAUCCCCUACAACGGUGAUUGCCUCAUUACGUUCUGCGUGAUCCACAUGACACACUUCUCUCAGAUCGAUCCGGGUGCCAACAUCCUAGUAAACAUGUUCUACUCCCCUUCAAUGUAUGUUGCCCUUGUAACGGUAUCGUUGCAGGUGCUUCACCCGCGCGCUGUGGACACUUAGGAUGCCUUCUUGCAAGCGAUUCCCCCGUGCUAUGCGUGGGGGGAAGCUUGGUUGGCUUCACCACUGUGGCUACGCGAGCGCAUGAGCUGUUUUGGAUCCGUGUCCGUUGGUAGACUCCCCGUCCUCGUGCGGCCGACUGCUGACGCCGUUUCCUGUCAUUUGUGUGACUUAUGUUACUUCUAGUUUUCAAGUGUUUGCGUGCUGGUACCCGACCUACGGGAAGUGGUUCUCCAUACACGUUUGCUUCGCGGCGGACUCCCCCGGGUGUCCCGCUGUGGCCUAAUGGUGCUUGUGGCGUUGCCCCGUGGUGCUGACACGUACCAUCAAGGCAGCCUCGCUUGCGCUGUUGGUUUUGGAUGUUGCUCACGAUAAAGGUUCAUGGCCCUUCUGGUUGCCUUGACCCAAACCUAAUGAAGCUCUUUGGAUCGGAACGUGUCGUAGAACGGUGUGUUGCCUGUACCUGUCCACAGUUAGUGGUAGGAUACGCAACAUGCUGGGCCGAUGCUAGUAGGUGAAGGGGAAGCUUGGCUCGCUCAAUUGCGACAACCGGCCCGACUGUUGUCUGCCCGUAAGGGUGGAUGACAGCCGACGCUGGACGUCAAAGAGGACGUGCU